rnacentral:rRNA from 1 species
GACGAACGCUGGCGGCGUGCUUAACACAUGCAAGUCGAACGGUGAACCUCUUCGGAGGGGAUCAGUGGCGAACGGGUGAGUAACACGUGGGCAACCUGCCCCCGGCUCUGGGAUAACUCCAAGAAAUUGGGGCUAAUACCGGAUGUUCACCGCUUCCCGCAUGGGUGGUGGUGGAAAGGGUUUCCGGCUGGGGAUGGGCCCGCGGCCUAUCAGCUUGUUGGUGGGGUAGUGGCCUACCAAGGCGACGACGGGUAGCCGGCCUGAGAGGGUGACCGGCCACACUGGGACUGAGACACGGCCCAGACUCCUACGGGAGGCAGCAGUGGGGAAUAUAGCGCAAUGGGCGGAAGCCUGACGCAGCGACGCCGCGUGGGGGAUGACGGCCUUCGGGUUGUAAACCUCUUUCAGCAGGGACGAAGCGCAAGUGACGGUACCUGCAGGAGAAGCACCGGCCAACUACGUG